rnacentral:rRNA from 1 species
CCUACGGGAGGCAGCAGUAGGGAAUAUUGCUCAAUGGGGGAAACCCUGAAGCAGCAACGCCGCGUGGAGGAUGAAGGUUUUCGGAUUGUAAACUCCUUUUGUUAGAGAAGAUAAUGACGGUAUCUAACGAAUAAGCACCGGCUAACUCCGUGCCAGCAGCCGCGGUAAUACGGAGGGUGCAAGCGUUACUCGGAAUCACUGGGCGGAAAGAGCGCGUAGGCGGGAUAGCAAGUCAGAUGUGAAAUCCUAUGGCUUAACCAUAGAACUGCAUUUGAAACUGUUAUUCUAGAGUAUGGGAGAGGUAGGUGGAAUGCUUGGUGUAGUGGUGAAAUCCGUAGAGAUCAAGAGGAAUACUCAUUGCGAAGGCGACCUGCUAGAACAUAACUGACGCUGAUGCGCGAAAGCGUGGGGAGCAAACAGGAUUAGAUACCCCAGUAGUC